AUUGAACGCUGGCGGCAUGCCUUACACAUGCAAGUCGAACGGUAACGCGGGGCAACCUGGCGACGAGUGGCGAACGGGUGGGUAAUGCAUCGGAACGUGCCUGGUAGUGGGGGAUAACUGCUCGAAAGAGCAGCUAAUACCGCAUACGACCUGAGGGUGAAAGGGGGGGAUCGCAAGACCUCUCGCUAUCAGAGCGGCCGAUGUCGGAUUAGCUAGUUGGUGGGGUAAAGGCCCACCAAGGCAACGAUCCGUAGCUGGUCUGAGAGGACGACCAGCCACACUGGGACUGAGACACGGCCCAGACUCCUACGGGAGGCAGCAGUGGGGAAUUUUGGACAAUGGACGCAAGUCUGAUCCAGCCAUGCCGCGUGCGGGUAGAAGGCCUUCGGGUUGUAAACCGCUUUUGUCAGGGAAGAAAUCUUCUGGGCUAAUACCCUGGGAGGAUGACGGUACCUGAAGAAUAAGCACCGGCUAACUACGUGCCAGCCGCCGCCGUAAUAC
rnacentral:rRNA from 1 species